rnacentral:rRNA from 1 species
UACGAGUGAGGCAAGCGUUAAUCGGAAUUACUGGGCGUAAAGCGUGCGCAGGCGGUUCGGAAAGAAAGAUGUGAAAUCCCAGGGCUUAACCUUGGAACUGCAUUUUUAACUACCGGGCUAGAGUGUGUCAGAGGGAGGUGGAAUUCCGCGUGUAGCAGUGAAAUGCGUAGAUAUGCGGAGGAACACCGAUGGCGAAGGCAGCCUCCUGGGAUAACACUGACGCUCAUGCACGAAAGCGUGGGGAGCAAACA